UACGAAGGGUGCAAGCGUUAUUCGGAAUUACUGGGCGUAAAGGGUGCGUAGGCGGUUCGUUAAGUCUGCCGUGAAAUCCCCGGGCUCAACCUGGGAAUGGCGGUUGAUACUGGAUAGCUAGAGUGUGUCAGAGGAUGGUGGAAUUCCCGGUGUAGCGGUGAAAUGCGUAGAGAUCGGGAGGAACAUCAGUGGCGAAGGCGGCCAUCUGGGACAACACUGACGCUGAAGCACGAAAGCGUGGGGAGCAAACAGG
rnacentral:rRNA from 1 species